AAUUAAUGAGCUUGUAAUUAAGCAUUUGUUUUGAAAACUUAAGAAAGAAUAAUUUAUUCUAUUAAUUUAUACUAAAUU
rnacentral:tRNA from 1 species